CUAGUCAAGACAGGUCGAGACAGGUCGAGCCUUGGUCAAGACCAUUUCAGACUACACAAAGAUCAUCAAGUACUGAAUCAGACUAAUUAAGUAAAGUCGAGACCUAGUCGAGUACACUUAAGUACAGUUAAGUACAGUCGAGACAAUGUCGAGACUAGUCAAGUAAAAUGUGUUCUCGAUUUUACUGGUCGAGCACAAAAACUGGUCAAUUCAGACUCUGAGCAGUUUGUAGUGUAUGUCAAUGUAAGCCAACAAAAAUAUUUAAUCGAACCCUACCAACCAAUUUUAAUAUUAAGACGCCAAUAUUGACCAUACUUACCGCGGAUCGUUUCACCCUAGGGACCAAACUGAGCAUAUUAUUGGUCUAUACAAGGUGUUGUUUUCAUUGCAAAGGCCUUGGCUAACCUUAACAUGUGUUUUUCAAUAUAAAUCGGUGCUUCAUUAAGCGGAAAUCACGAUAAAGCAUCAUAAAAGCCUAGAAAACCAAAAUAAAGGCAACUACCCAUAAGAGUGAAAAUCUUUCCCCAGCACCGCCCAGGCAUUCCAUUGGAGUAUAUUCUAGCUCAAACUAAUGCUUAGGGUGUCUACUACAUGCCAGAAUCUGUAUUUAUACUAAGAUAUGUGGACAGAGGCCAACAAAAUGUUUAAUCGACCCUUACCCCCAAUUUGGACAGCCUGACGCCAUUAUUGGCAAUAUUUACCCGGGAUCUUUUCACCCUAGGGACCAAACUGAGCAUAUUUUUGAUCUAUUCAAGGUGUCAUUUUCAUUUUAAAAGCCUUUGCUAACUUUAACAUGUGUUUUUCAAUAUAAGUAGGUGCUUCAUUAAGCGGAAAACACGAUAAACCAUCAUAAAAGCUUAGAAAACCAACAUAAAGGCAACUACCCAUAAGAGUGAAAAUCUUCCACAAGCACCGCCCAGGCAUGCUGUUGGGUAUAUAUUAUAGCUCAAACUAAUGCUAAGGGAGUCUUCUACAUGCCAGAAUCUUUAUUUACACUAAAAUAUGUGGACGGAGGCCAACAAAAUGUUUAAUCGACCCUUGCCCUUAUUUGGAAGGCCAGACGCCAUUAUUGACCAUACUAACCCGGAUCUUUUAACCCUAGGGACCAAACUGAUCAUAUUAUUGGUUUAUACAAGGUGUCAUUUUCAUCAAAAAGUUCUUGGCUAACUUUAAGAUGUGUUUUCCAACCUAAAUAGGUGCUUCAUUAAGCGAAAAACACGAUAAAUCAUCAUAAAAGCCAAGAAAAGCAACAUAAAGGCAACUACCCAUCAGAGUAAAAAUCUCCCCCAGCACCGCACAGGCAUGCCAUUGGGGUAUAUUAUAGCUCAAACGAAUGCUAAGAGUGUUUACUAAAUUCCUGAACCUUUACUUAUAAGAAAAUAUGUCAAUGUAAGCCAACAAAAAUAUUUAAUCGAACCCUACCAACCAAUUUUAAUAUUAAGACGCCAAUAUUGACCAUGCUUACCGCGGAUCGUUUCACCCUAGGGACCAAAUUGAGCAUAUUAUUGGUCGUUUCAAAGUGUCAUUUCCAUCGUAAAGGCCUUGGCUAACUUUCACAUGUGUUUUCCAACAUAAAUAGGUGUUUCAUUAAGCGGAAAUCACGAUAAAGCAUCAUAAAAGUCUAGAAAACCAACAUAAAGGCAACUAUCCAUCAGAGUGAAAAUCUCCCCCCAGCGCCGCCCAGGCUUGCCAUAGGGUUAUAUUCUAGCUCAAACUAAUGCUUAGGGUGUCUACUACAUGCCUGAAUCUGUAUUUAUACUAAAAUAUCGGAACAUAGGCCAACAAAAUAUUUAAUCGACCCCUACCCCCAAUUUUAAUAUCCAGACGCCAGUAUUGACCAUACCAACCCCAUAUCUUUUCGCCCUAGGGACCAAACUGAACAUAUUAUUGGUCUAUUCUAGGUGUCAUUUUCAUCGUCAAGGCCUUGGACUAACUUUAAGAUGUGUUUCCAACAGAAAUAGGUGCUUCCUUCACCGGAAUACACAUGAAACCAUCAUAAAAGCCUGGAAAAACCAACAAAAAGGCAACUACACAUAGAGUGUAAACCUUCCCUUAGCACCGCCCAGGCAUGCCAUUUGGGAAUAUUUUAGCUCAAACUAAUGCUUAGGGUGUCUACUACAUGCCCGAAUCUGUAUUUAUACUGAAAUAUGUGGACAUAGGCCAAAAAAAUAUUUAAUCGGCCCCUACCCUCAAUUUUAAUAUCCAGACGCCAAUAUUGACCAUACCAACCAAGGAUUUUUUUCACCCUAGGGACUAAACUGAGCAUAUUAUUGGUCUAUACAAGGUGUCAUUUUUAUCGUUAAAGCCUUUGCUAAUUAUAACAUGUGUUUCCAAC
rnacentral:lncRNA from 1 species